rnacentral:pre_miRNA from 1 species
AGCUUUUUGAAUCCAUACACACAUUUCGUCAGACACCAAUCCAUUAGGGCUGAUCAGAUUGUCAAGAUAAGUGAAGUU